CACAUGCGUAAUGGAUGACCAGUGGCCGUGACAGGGAAUGAGGAAAGGUGCAGCUGACCAAACCAUAUCGCUGCCUCGCGGCCCGGUAGCGCAUGCUCUGCGGCCCGGUAGUUGGGGAUUGCUGGGAUAUGACAAGUUGGAGCAAGGCCUGGUAUGGAAAUAGCAAUGUCUAAGAACAGAAAAGUCUGCAAAAAAUGGUGGAUAAGGCCCAGUCCAUCACAGGCACUGCCCUCCUCAGUUUUGAACACAUCUACAAGGAGAGCUGCCACAAGAAAGCAGCAUCCAUCAUCGAGGACCCCUGCCAUCCAGGCCACACUUCUUCUCACUGCUGACAAUCGGAAGGAGGUGGAAGAGCCUCAGGACCACACCACCAGACUCAGGAACCCUAAAGCAACAGGUUGGAGAACAGUGGUAAGCUGCCUGAUCUACUGAGUGCAUCUAGAUUUCCUGUAUUUACAAAGUUUUGAUCUUCACAUGAGGAAAUAAUAGCCAACAGGAAUAAGCCAAAACAUAAAACAGGGCCGGGCACCUCAGACACUGCCUAGAAGAAGAUAAUGGCAAACUGCUUUUGUAGAAAAAUUGCCAAGAACAAUCAUGGUCAUGGAAAAACCGUGAUCGCCCACGUCAUACGACACAGCAUAUAACGAACGAACAAUGAACAGGUAUGUUUCUGGUACUGUUAAAGCCUGUGAUCUACAGUUUGGAGAUCAAUUGAGAGAUCUGUCACUUUCUGAGAAGAUUCCAGGAGGCGAGCGCCCCCGAGGCCUAGAAGCUUAGAGAUAGGGCGCAAGCCCAUGAUCUAUUUUUCACCAAUCUCGCUGAUUAAAGCUUAGACGAAAAUUAAAACAUUGAGGCGCAUGCAGAAGGUGAGUGUUCAGCACCAUCUACCAGCCUCUCAUUUGCUGCUGCCAGAGAAAGGCCCCUGCAUUCUCUCUCCCUCGAUGCUGUUGGAGGAUAGUACCGAAAUUCUGGAUCUCCGAUUUACCAAUUAGACUGUAGUUCACUUGGACCCAGUUUUAUGUUUUAAUAUUCUGUGUUUUUGCCCAUUCUUUCUUGUUGUCAUUUGUGCAAUUUGGUUUUUUUUGCACACAGGUGGAUGUUUGAUUUUUUUUCUUUGAAUGGCUUCCAUGGCUUUCUUUGUUUUGUGGCUGUGGGAAGGCAAAUCUCAGAGCUGUAUACUGCAUACUUACUUAUACAUACGCAUACAUACUUAAUAAAUGUACCUUGAACCUUGAACAAACAUCAUUUUGCAGGCACCACAUGUAAGUUAUUUCCCUUUGAUGGAGAAGAAUGAGACUAAUUCUGUGAGUGGCCGGCUGAUGUGUAACUAAAUAAUCCAGAUCAGUGCCCAGAUUAAUGCAGCAUAGAUGAUGCCUUCCCUCGAGAGCAGCUGGCUGUGCCAAUCUACAUUCAUUAAUAUACUAAAGGGCAAUUACAAGCUAUACACUGAUGAUGUGAAGCUUGGGUGGCUGUGGUCUGGGGUGCAGUGGAUGCUGUAACGUUGGCCUUCUGAUGCUGCAAUGUGAUUGGAUCCACAGAUCUGGGGCUGGAAGGGAUGAGCUCCAUGCCCUGCAAUGUCACUCUCGCACUCCACCGUGCCCUUUGAUAUUGUACUGCACGCACUACAUCGAGCAGCUCAGUGUAUACAAUUCAGAGUUAGGUGGGCUGUUGCAGUGGGAGAUGCAACUUUAUACCAACUGCAUGCUUUAAAUCAAAGGCAUAUACUGAGGAGUAGGUGCAUGUGGGAAAUGUGAUGAAGUAUCUAUAUGUUGUCUUCAGUGGAUUCAACUGAUUUGUUGGCCAUGGACUCAAGAAUGGUCAUAUCAGCAACGAUCAACAUUAUUUCCAGCUCAAGACUUGGAUACGCGGGCGCGCUUGGCUCCUGGAAAUGAUCUCUGCAAUCUGUCACUGUGAUGCAAGAGAGAAGACAUUGCAAUGAUGCACAUUGCUUGGGCCUGGUUGAAUGGCUAGUAAUAUGUCCAAGCUGAAAGCUGAAGACACCCAGCAAUGAUAUAUGUCAAGGUUCAAAUUUCAAAGUUCAAAGUAAAUGUAUUAUCAAAUGUAUUGUCACCAUAUACAGCCCAAAGGUUCAUUUCCUUGUGGCAGACACAUUAAAUACAAAGAAGCACAAUGGAAUCCAUUAAAUUCCACACCCUACAAGACAGACAAACACCAUGUGCAAAAGACAACAAACUGCAAAUACAAAACAAAAAAAAAUAAUAAAUAAAUACACAAUAAAUAUUGAGAACAUGAGUCCAUAGUUGUUGGAACAGUUUAGUGAUGGGGUGAGUGAAGUUUAUGAAGUUAUCUCCUCUGGUUCAGGGCCCUGAUGGUGGAGGGGUAAUAACUGUUCCUGAACCUGGUGAUGUGAGUCCUGAGGCUCCUGUACCUCCAUCCUGAUGACAGUAGUGAGAAGAGAGCAUGGCCUGGGUGGUGGGGGGGUCCCUGAUGAUGGAUGUUAGAAACAUAGAAAACCUACAA